rnacentral:autocatalytically_spliced_intron from 1 species
GGAGGAUGGCCCUCCGGGAUCGGCUUUCAGGAGCGGGUCUCAAACCAGUCGUAAGCGGCAAGCUGAGACCGUUCAGCGCGC